rnacentral:rRNA from 1 species
UACAUAGACCUCAAGCGUUAUCCGGAUUUACUGGGCGUAAAGCGUGCGUAGGCGUUUCGUUAAGUCUCUAGUGAAAGCCCUCGGCUCAACUGAGGAAUUGUUAGAGAUACUGGCGGAAUAGAGUAUGGCAGAGGCAGACGGAAUUCUUGGUGUAGCGGUAAAAUGCGUUGAUAUCAAGAAGAACACCAGUGGCGAAGGCGGUCUGCUGGGCCAGUACUGGACGCUGAGGUACGAAAGCGUGGGUAGCGAACGGGAUUGAGAU